CCCCUCAUCCCACGUCCCUUGGCCCCUAAUCCUCGAAAAACCUUAGGAGCUCGCCCCCACCAUCUCCCUUCCGCCCCUCCUGCCUCCGUGGUCCCUAACUCUCCUUUAGCCCUGCUCAGCCCCCAAAUACUCCCUAUGCCCACGGGGCUCCCCGACUCGUCCUCCCCGUCCCGGGAAGGGGUGGCCCUCAGUACCCGCCUGGCUCGCCCUGCCGCCAAGCUCAAGUGUCCCUUCCCUUCCCCUCGGGGCCCCCGAGGCCGCUGCCAGCGCUGGCACUGCGGGGCCGGCUCACCAGUUGGUCAUGUCCAGGAAGAAGGCGCAACCGGCAGGAUUGAGCUGGAAGCCGAGCAGCCUCUGGAACUCGGAGAUGAGCACGUCCUUGUCGGUGGUGCCCAGGCAGCUGAACUUCUGCAUCAGCUCCGGGUCCAGGUCUACGUCCAUGCCCUCCAUGGCGGGGACCGGACACCCGCUUCCCCGCCUCUUCACAACCAAGCCGCCGCCGCGCCGCCGGGCCCGGGGACCUGGAGGGGGGCCGCUGCUAGCUAGCUUCGCGACCCCGCUCCUUUGAGGUGAGGAAACUGAAGUCCCGGGAGAGACAGUGGCAAGGUCAAGUAGCAAAGUGCACUCAGCCCUCCCAGCAAGGAGUCUGCCACUCGCGCUUGAAGGACGUGUUUGAAGAGCUGCUUUCCCAGUGGGAUGCUGCCUUAAAGUCUUGAUUCCCUGGCACUCUUUCCUAUUACUACAUUUUAUCGGUGCUGUUUGUGUUAUGCAACGGUAGCAUCGUGUCUCCGGAAGAUAAAAAAGGUCUCGAUACAAACAUCCAUAACCUUCCACCCACUCCGUCAGGAACAACCCAAUCAAAAUAAAGUCAUGAGAAUUUAG